GGCUUCGUGGUCUAGCGGUAUGAUACUCGCUUAGGGUUAACCCUCAAGCUCCAUUUGCGAGUGGUCCCGGGUUCGAUUCCCGGCGAAGCCC
rnacentral:tRNA from 1 species